rnacentral:rRNA from 1 species
ACGAACGCUGGCGGCGUGCUUAACACAUGCAAGUCGAACGGUGAUCUUGAGAGCUUGCUCUUGGGUGAUCAGUGGCGAACGGGUGAGUAACACGUGAGGAACCUGCCCCAGACUCUGGAAUAACCCCGGGAAACCGGAGCUAAUACCGGAUAUGACAUCAGACCGCAUGGUCAUGGUGUGGAAAGUUUUUCGGUCUGGGAUGGCCUCGCGGCCUAUCAGCUUGUUGGUGAGGUAGUGGCUCACCAAGGCGACGACGGGUAGCCGGCCUGAGAGGGCGACCGGCCACACUGGGACUGAGACACGGCCCAGACUCCUACGGGAGGCAGCAGUGGGGAAUAUUGCACAAUGGGCGAAAGCCUGAUGCAGCGACGCCGCGUGAGGGAUGAAGGCCUUCGGGUUGUAAACCUCUUUCAGCAGGGAAGAAGCGAAAGUGACGGUACCUGCAGAAGAAGCACCGGCUAACUACGU